GUCCGCACCAUUUAUAGUUUUCGUUGAUAUGUCCUUUAAAUAAGGGUUGCACGCGACGCGUGGUCGGCAUGCUCUAGGACGUUUACGUAGUUCGCUUAGCACUAUCGGCAGCAAAGAAAAUCUACACACGGCUGCUCCCCCUGACGCCGUAUAUAUAUAAGAUAUAUAUAUAAAUAUAUAUAU